rnacentral:rRNA from 1 species
UGAGCCUACGGGGCGCAGCAGUAGGGAAUUUUCGUCAAUGGGCGCAAGCCUGAACGAGCAAUGCCGCGUGAACGAGGAAGGUCUUCGGAUCGUAAAGUUCUGUUGAAGGGGAAACAGAGCGGAGAGAGGAAAUGGUCUCUGAUUGAUAUUACCCUUCGAGGAAGUCACGGCUAACUACGUGCCAGCAGCCGCGGUAAUACGAUGGUGGCGAGCGUUAUCCGGAAUGAUUGGGCGUAAAGGGUGCGUAGGCGGCCUGCUAAGCCUGGAGUGAAAGGU